rnacentral:rRNA from 1 species
AGUGAACGCUGGCGGUAGGCCUAACACAUGCAAGUCGAACGGCAGCACAGGAGAGCUUGCUCUCUGGGUGGCGGGUGGCGGACGGGUGAGGAAUACAUCGGAAUCUACCUUUUCGUGGGGGAUAACGUAGGGAAACUUACGCUAAUACCGCAUACGACCUACGGGUGAAAGUGGGGGACCGCAAGGCCUCACGCGAUUAGAUGAGCCGAUGUCCGAUUAGCUAGUUGGCGGGGUAAUGGCCCACCAAGGCGACGAUCGGUAGCUGGUCUGAGAGGAUGAUCAGCCACACUGGAACUGAGACACGGUCCAGACUCCUACGGGAGGCAGCAGUGGGGAAUAUUGGACAAUGGGCGCAAGCCUGAUCCAGCCAUACCGCGUGGGUGAAGAAGGCCUUCGGGUUGUAAAGCCCUUUUGUUGGGAAAGAAAUCCUGUCGAUUAAUACUCGGUGGGGAUGACGGUACCCAAAGAAUAAGCACCGGCUAACUUCGUGCCAGCCGCCGCAGUAAAAC